rnacentral:rRNA from 1 species
UACGUAGGGGCAAGCGUUGUCCGGAUUCAUUGGGCGUAAAGCGCGUGUAGGCGGCCAGGUAGGUCCGGUGUGAAAACUCGAGGCUCAACCUCGAGAGGUCAUCGGAAACCAUCUGGCUAGAGUCCGGAAGAGGAGAGUGGAAUUCCUGGUGUAGCGGUGAAAUGCGCAGAUAUCAGGAAGAACACCAAUGGCGAAAGCAGCUCUCUGGGACGGUACUGACGCUGAGACGCGAAAGCGUGGGGAGCGAACAGG